ACACUGCUCUGUAUAAUGAUACUGAGUAUCUAUACGCUGAUAAUGAACACAGCGCUCUGUAUAAUGAUACGGAGUAUCUAUACGCUGAUAAUGAACACAGCGCUCUGUAUAAUAAUACUGAGUAUCUAUACGCUGAUAAUGAACACAGCGCUCUGUAUAAUGAUACUGAGUAUCUAUACGCUGAUAAUGAACACACCGCUCUGUAUAAUGAUACUGAGUAUCUAUACGCUGAUAAUGAACACAGCGCUCUGUAUAAUAAUACUGAGUAUCUAUACACUGAUAAUGAACACAGCGCUCUGUAUAAUGAUACUGAGUAUCUAUACACUGAUAAUGAACACAGCGCUCUGUAUAAUGAUACUGAGUAUCUAUACGCUGAUAAUGAACACAGCGCUCUGUAUAAUGAUACGGAGUAUCUAUCCCAGGAUAGUAUGCUAG